GACGAACGCUGGCGGCGUGCUUAACACAUGCAAGUCGAACGGAAAGGCCCUGCUUUUGUGGGGUGCUCGAGUGGCGAACGGGUGAGUAACACGUGAGUAACCUGCCCUUGACUUUGGGAUAACUUCAGGAAACUGGGGCUAAUACCGGAUAUGAGCUCCUGCUGCAUGGUGGGGGUUGGAAAGUUUCGGCGGUUGGGGAUGGACUCGCGGCUUAUCAGCUUGUUGGUGGGGUAGUGGCUUACCAAGGCUUUGACGGGUAGCCGGCCUGAGAGGGUGACCGGCCACAUUGGGACUGAGAUACGGCCCAGAAUCCUACGGGAGGCAGCAGGGGGGAAUAUUGCACAAUGGGCGGAAGCCUGAUGCAACAACGCCGCGUGCGGGAUGACGGCCUUCGGGUUGUAAACCGCUUUCGCCUGUGACGAAGCGUGAGUGACGGUAAUGGGUAAAGAAGCACCGGCUAACUACGUG
rnacentral:rRNA from 1 species